AAACUGCGAUAAGUAAUGUGAAUUGCAGAAUUCAGUGAAUCAUCGAGUCUUUGAACGCACAUUGCGCCCCCUGGCAUUCCGGGGGGCAUGCCUGUCCGAGCGUCAUUGCUGCCCUUCAAGCCCGGCUUGUGUGUUGGGUCGUCGUCCCCUCCGGGGGACGGGCCCGAAAGGCAGCGGCGGCACCGCGUCCGGUCCUCGAGCGUAUGGGGCUUUGUCACCCGCUCGAUAAGGACCGGCCGGGCGCCAGCCGGCGUCUCCAACCUUUUUUUCUCAGGUUGACCUCGGAUCAGGUAGGGAUACCCGCUGAACUUAAGC
rnacentral:misc_RNA from 1 species